UGCAUUCAGUACUGUAAGUCACUCUGGAUAAGAGUGUCUGCUAAAUGACUAAAA
rfam:Salmo salar isolate Sally breed double haploid chromosome ssa15, whole genome shotgun sequence.